CUACGGGGGGCUCCAGUGGGGAAUAUUGCACAAUGGGCGCAAGCCUGAUGCAGCCAUGCCGCGUGUAUGAAGAAGGCCUUCGGGUUGUAAAGUACUUUCAGCGGGGAGGAAGGGAGUAAAGUUAAUACCUUUGCUCAUUGACGUUACCCGCAGAAGAAGCACCGGCUAAGUCCGUGCCAGCAGCCGCGGUAAUACGGAGGGUGCAAGCGUUAAUCGGAAUUACUGGGCGUAAAGCGCACGCAGGCGGUUUGUUAAGUCAGAUGUGAAAUCCCCGGGCUCAACCUGGGAACUGCAUCUGAUACUGGCAAGCUUGAGUCUCGUAGAGGGGGGUAGAAUUCCAGGCGUAGCGGUGAAAUGCGUAGAGAUCUGGAGGAAUACCGGUGGCGAAGGCGGCCCCCUGGACGAAGACUGACGCUCAGGUGCGAAAGCGUGGGGAGCAAACAGGAUUAGAUACCCUCGUAGUC
rnacentral:rRNA from 1 species